CCGCAUAAGGGUGUGUGAGCAUAUAUAUCAGAAAGGUCUCGACGGAGGCAUAGAAGUAGGGUACAUACAUAGAUGUGUACAGCGUGACGACCGCUAUUGGAAAAUCCGGUAACCUGCGGUUAUAUUCGUGGUGGUCAGCUUCACUUUUGCUUUGUGUCUUCAGGGAACGACAGCCUCCGGCGACUGAAUGGGAGGAGACAAGGAAGCCUCAGGGAACGCUUUGAGUACUAUAAUUCUCCAGUCAUCAUGGUGGUAGAGGGUUGGAUGCAACAGCUCAGUUGAGGGCAUCCUAGCAAGACUUAGUAAAGUUGAAUCAUCGCCGUUAAGGUUUGAUGGAUGCGCUGCCUAUGUGCUGUCAAAGUAUAAGAUGCAUAUCGGAGGUUUUGAGAGCUAUCUACAAAUAGUAGGCGAACGAUGACAGCAGAUUUCAAAGCGAAAAUGCUGGAGACAUCUACGUGUCUUCAUAGCUAUCACAAAAAUUUUAAGUAUCUUACA
rnacentral:sRNA from 1 species